rnacentral:rRNA from 1 species
UACGUAGGGACCAAGCGUUGUUCGGAUUUACUGGGCGUAAAGGGCGCGUAGGCGGCGUGGUAAGUCACUUGUGAAAUCUCUGAGCUUAACUCAGAACGGCCAAGUGAUACUGCAGUGCUAGAGUGCAGAAGGGGCAAUCGGAAUUCUUGGUGUAGCGGUGAAAUGCGUAGAUAUCAAGAGGAACACCUGAGGUGAAGACGGGUUGCUGGGCUGACACUGACGCUGAGUGCGCGAAAGCCAGGGGAGCAAACGGG